AUUGAACGCUGGCGGCAGGCCUAACACAUGCAAGUCGAGCGGAUGAAGGGAGCUUGCUCCUGGAUUCAGCGGCGGACGGGUGAGUAAUGCCUAGGAAUCUGCCUGGUAGUGGGGGAUAACGUCCGGAAACGGGCGCUAAUACCGCAUACGUCCUGAGGUAGAAAGUGGGGGAUCUUCGGACCUCACGCUAUCAGAUGAGCCUAGGUCGGAUUAGCUAGUUGGUGGGGUAAAGUCCCACCAAGGCGACGAUCCGUAACUGGUAUGAGAGGAUGAUCAGUCACACUGGAACUGAGACACGGUCCAGACUCCUAAGGGAGGCAGCAGUGGGGAAUAUUGGACAAUGGGCGAAAGCCUGAUCCAGCAAUGCCGCGUGUGUGAAGAAGGUCUUCGGAUUGUAAAGCACUUUAAGUUGGGAGGAAGGGCAGUAAGUUAAUACCUUGCUGUUUUGACGUUACCAAAAGAAUAAGCACCGGCUAACUUCGUG
rnacentral:rRNA from 1 species